UCAAGAUCUCAGAUGAGGUAAGACGACCCGCUGAAUUUAAGCAUAUAAUUAAGCGGAGGAAAAGAAACUAACUAGGAUUCCCUUAGUAACGGCGAGUGAAGCGGGAAGAGCUCAAACCGAAAAUCUCUGUCUGGCAAACGGGCAGCGAAUUGUGGUCUAUGGAGGCAUGUUCAGCGUGCGGCGCCGGCCAAAGUCCGUUGGAAAACGGCGCCUGGGAGGGUGAUAGCCCCGUCCAUGGCUGGAUGUCCGCCGCGUACGAACUGCUCUCUAAGAGUCGGCUUGCUUGGGAGUGCAGGCCUAAGUGGGUGGUAAAUUUCAUCCAAAGCUAAAUAUCUGUGGGAGACCGAUAGCGAACAAGUACCGUGAGGGAAAGAUGAAAAGAACUUUGAAAAGAGAGUCAAAAGUACUUGAAAUUGCUGAGAUCGAAGGGAUGGCAUCUAGUAGUGGCUCGGGGAUUGAUUCGGAUGAGGGCUCGGUCACGGUCGGAUUGCAAUUGGCUUUUGGUCUUUGCGGCUCGGUCGCUGGCCGGGUUCGAGUUCGUCCUGUCCUCGGGCCUAGGUCAGGAUGGAUUCCUGGUGGUUUAGAAGCGCCGUGGGAAGGUGGCUGUCGCUUCGGUGGCAGAGCUUACAGACCACGGCCGAUGGAUUGCCGGGGAUUGAGGUGCGAAAAUCCACGCCUCUCGGGGCUGGGAACUCUUGGGAAUGGCGCGGCGGUACUGGCGGGAUGCAAUGCCUCGCGUCGGUGGCCGUCGUCCAACCCGGGUCGGUUCACUUGUGGAUUUGCGAUCCUGACGAAAUGGUUGUCAUUCACCCGUCUGAAACACGACCAGGAGUCUUACA
rnacentral:rRNA from 1 species